CUGAUUCAUAAUAAGAAAAGUUCCAUCACAUUAAAAAAGCAUCAACAAUUUAACCCAAUAAUAUUGAAAAAGCUUCAACAUAUUACACAAUCCAAUCACAUUGAGAAAUUAACAACAUUUUACACAACUGAUGAGCUCUACUUGGGAUGACUGUAAUACUCAUAGCUACAAAGGCUAAUUCAGAACAUCUAUAUGUGAAACUAAACUAAUGUAAGCAAGAAAUGAUUCGUCUAUGCAUCAGAUACUAUCCAAAGUAACAAUCAAACAUUCGCAAACCAGAUAUGAGGGGAAAUGAAACAAGAUCAAUUAGCCAACCUUGUACUUAGCAACUUCCUCGCUCACUUCCUUGAGGUCACCUUUGGUAAAGAUCAAACCAACGUUUCCCUACAAAAACAAUCGCAAAUUACAAUCUAAACACAAAAGCAUCGAUAAAAAUCUCAAUCAUUUCGAGAAGUUCAAAUUUUUACCUGAAGGAGAGGAAGCAGAUUGAGGAUUGCAGUGUUUCCGGUGUUCUCAGAGUGAAUCCUAACGGAACGCUUCAUCAUAGUGUUCUUCCCCAUAAGCACCACGGAGUCUCCACGAAGACCCUUUCUGAUGUUCUGGAGCUGAGUCGAUCCGACGUUAU
rnacentral:lncRNA from 1 species